ACUCCUGCGGGAGGCAGCAGUGGGGAAUUUUGGACAAUGGGCGAAAGCCUGAUCCAGCCAUGCCGCGUGCAGGAUGAAGGCCUUCGGGUUGUAAACUGCUUUUGUACGGAACGAAACGGCCUUUUCUAAUAAAGAGGGCUAAUGACGGUACCGUAAGAAUAAGCACCGGCUAACUACGUGCCAGCAGCCGCGGUAAUACGUAGGGUGCAAGCGUUAAUCGGAAUUACUGGGCGUAAAGCGUGCGCAGGCGGUUAUGUAAGACAGUUGUGAAAUCCCCGGGCUCAACCUGGGAACUGCAUCUGUGACUGCAUAGCUAGAGUACGGUAGAGGGGGAUGGAAUUCCGCGUGUAGCAGUGAAAUGCGUAGAUAUGCGGAGGAACACCGAUGGCGAAGGCAAUCCCCUGGACCUGUACUGACGCUCAUGCACGAAAGCGUGGGGAGCAAACAGGAUUAGAUACCCCGGUAGUCCC
rnacentral:rRNA from 1 species